UUCCUGGCUCAGGACGAACGCUGGCGGCGUGCCUAAUACAUGCAAGUCGAACGCUUCUUUUUCCACCGGAGCUUGCUCCACCGGAAAAAGAGGAGUGGCGAACGGGUGAGUAACACGUGGGUAACCUGCCCAUCAGAAGGGGAUAACACUUGGAAACAGGUGCUAAUACCGUAUAACAAUCGAAACCGCAUGGUUUUGAUUUGAAAGGCGCUUUCGGGUGUCGCUGAUGGAUGGACCCGCGGUGCAUUAGCUAGUUGGUGAGGUAACGGCUCACCAAGGCCACGAUGCAUAGCCGACCUGAGAGGGUGAUCGGCCACAUUGGGACUGAGACACGGCCCAAACUCCUACGGGAGGCAGCAGUAGGGAAUCUUCGGCAAUGGACGAAAGUCUGACCGAGCAACGCCGCGUGAGUGAAGAAGGUUUUCGGAUCGUAAAACUCUGUUGUUAGAGAAGAACAAGGAUGAGAGUAACUGUUCAUCCCUUGACGGUAUCUAACCAGAAAGCCACGGCUAAUC
rnacentral:rRNA from 1 species